CGCUCUUCCAACUAACACACUAUAGAAGAUAAAGUCCCCCAGCCCGAGCUUGAUGGCACCGGUUGACCCCAACCCAAUGCCCUCUAGCAGCAAACUUUCGCUUGAUACAGCAUCUCCCUGUCCAUGAACCUGAACACUACUCCUACGAUCAAUUAAUGGUGCUGAAAGCUCGGCAUCCCUUUCCAGAAGUUGCCCUUCUUCAGCUCUAGCUAAUCUUGUAGUGUGAUGACCACCAUCAACUGUACCAUUAGUCAAGUUCGAAUCCAAACUAGAUUCAGAAUUCAAAUUCUCUUCAGAAUCAUUUCCCACAUUUCUCCUUUCUCUCCACAGCCUCCUUUGAGCUACACCAUCCCUAGAGCCUGAAUCAUGAUUAGUCACAGGCCGAGCCUCAUAAACCAAUGCAGGGAUAUCUUCAUCCCUAGAUAUUGCAAGCUCUACCAAGAGCCUCAAUGGCCCAAUAGGCAAUAAAACAGCAGCAAGAUCAUACAAUGCCAUGGCAACCAAUAGUGCCCAAGUAGUCCAUUCAGGCAAAAGAGUAAACCAAUAAGCAACCAAAACCCCAAUGACAACCAAAUAAGCCUGUGUCACAAAUAUAGCCAUUUUUGACAUGAACACAGCCAAUACACCCACAGCAGCAAAGUUGAACAAAACCACCAAAAACGUGAAACAAUCGAUAGGAACACUAAAAUCUCUUAUCAAGAACAAGGCAAUUUCACCACCCAUGAAUCCCAAAACAAUAAAAGAAGAGAAACCCAUGUAUAGUUUCAAGAACUGAGUGCAUCUAAGGUAAAAAAGAAGCACCAGAACAAAAGUAACAACAGUGACAAUAGCCACAAACACAAGAGAAUUCAAAAGGGCACCUUUGAGCUUAUCCCAGAAGGAGUCGGAGGUUGUCUCAGUGUAAGCCAUGGUAGCUAUGUUGUUUAUUGUUGUUGAUGCCGAUGAGGAGUCUGUGUUGAGAAAUUGAGACUAGAAUCACCACAAUGAACAUGCAGAUUGAUACUGGUGUUAUGAUUCUGAUUAUUUCUUCUCCUAAAGAAUCAAGAAAGCUUUUGGGUCUUUGGAUUUGGGCCAUUUGGGCGUUCAAUUUUUGGAUCAAUUGGGGAUUGCGAGGAGGGGGUUUCUUUAUUUGAUUGACUGGUGGCUUCCCCGGG
rnacentral:misc_RNA from 1 species